UACAGAGGUCCCAAGCGUUGCUCGGAAUCACUGGGCGUAAAGGGUGCGUAGGCGGGUCUUUUAAGUCAGGGGUGAAAUCCUGGAGCUCAACUCCAGAACUGCCUUUGAUACUGAGGAUCUUGAGUUCGGGAGAGGUGAGUGGAACUGCGAGUGUAGAGGUGAAAUUCGUAGAUAUUCGCAAGAACACCAGUGGCGAAGGCGGCUCACUGGCCCGAUACUGACGCUGAGGUGCGAAAGCGUGGGGAGCAAACAGG
rnacentral:rRNA from 1 species